UGCCGCGUGCAGGAUGACGGUCCUAUGGAUUGUAAACUGCUUUUGUACGAGAAGAAACACUCCUAUGUAUAGGAGCUUGACGGUAUCGUAAGAAUAAGGAUCGGCUAACUCCGUGCCAGCAGCCGCGGUAAUACGGAGGAUCCAAGCGUUAUCCGGAAUCAUUGGGUUUAAAGGGUCCGUACGCGGUUUAGUAAGUCAGUGGUGAAAGCCCAUCGCUCAACGGUGGAACGGCCAUUGAUACUGCUGAACUUGAAUUAUUAGGAAGUAACUAGAAUAUGUAGUGUAGCGGUGAAAUGCUUAGAGAUUACAUGGAAUACCAAUUGCGAAGGCAGGUUACUACUAAUGGAUUGACGCUGAUGGACGAAAGCGUGGGGAGCGAACAGGAUUAGAUACCCUGGUAGUCCACGCCGUAAACGAUGGAUACUAGCUGUUGGGAGCAAUCUCAGUGGCUAAGCGAAAGUGAUAAGUAUCCCACCU
rnacentral:rRNA from 1 species